rnacentral:rRNA from 1 species
AGAGUUUGAUUCUGGCUCAGGAUGAACGCUGGCGGCGUGCCUAACACAUGCAAGUCGAACGAAGCAUGCAGGAAGAAGCCCUUCGGGGCGGGCGCCUGGAUGACUGAGUGGCGGACGGGUGAGUAACGCGUGGGCAACCUGCCCCAUACAGGGGGAUAACAGCCGGAAACGGCUGCUAAUACCGCAUAAACCAGGGAGGCGCAUGCCUUUCUGGGGAAAGUUCCGGCGGUAUGGGAGGGGCCCGCGUCUGAUUAGCUUGUUGGCGGGGCAGCGGCCCACCAAGGCGACGAUCAGUAGCCGGCCUGAGAGGGCGGACGGCCACAUUGGGACUGAGACACGGCCCAAACUCCUACGGGAGGCAGCAGUGGGGGAUAUUGCACAAUGGGGGAAACCCUGAUGCAGCGACGCCGCGUGGGCGAAGAAGUAUUUCGGUAUGUAAAGCCCUAUCAGCAGGGAAGAAGAAAUGACGGUACCUGAGUAAGAAGCACCGGCUAAAUACGUGCCAGCAGCCGCGGUAAUACGUAUGGUGCAAGCGUUAUCCGGAUUUACUGGGUGUAA